GGAGAAGGAGAAGGAGCAGCCUACCCUCUGGUGCGUGUGGAGUUAUUAAUGGAUUUGAUAGGGAAUGCAGACGAUAGACUGGCGGCGACGUCACGGCGACGUCAUGGUACGUCGCCUCACAAGACGCCUGAUAAACACGUCGUCUCCAGUUAGCUACGUGUGUAGAGAGAAAGUAGCAUGAUCCUUCUAGGAACAGAACGCGAGUACAAGACGGACAACAAUCAAUCAAUCAAUCAAUCAAUCAAAUACCAUCAUAUAGACUCUGGCUGUGCUGCAGAAUUUGUCCUUGUAGGAGGCUGAACAGGUAUUCCUUUCAGGUCUGGAUUACCACCUCAGGUAAGACUAGAAAAGGUAUGUUUACACAAUGCCCAAUUUACUCAAGUGUUUCCAGUAUUUCUGUUAACUUGGCAGCAAUUAUGUUCUGUUUUUAUCAUUUCAGUAAAUCACAUGUAUGUACCUGCAGCAGUUCACCGCUGUCCUUUUUAACAGCGUUGUGUCUCAUUCAAUGAUAGAAGGGUUUUAAGUCCAUAAUGCAAUUGUCUCUGAAUAUGAAAUAUAAUCAAAAGCAUUAAUCACACAUUGCAAAUACAUAUAACUAAAGCUAGUGUGCCACACAAUUUUAAUUUAGAAGUACAUCACAACACUUGCAAG